rnacentral:rRNA from 1 species
CGACCGGCGCACGGGUGAGUAACACUAUCCAACCUGCCGUCUACUCUUGGACAGCCUUCUGAAAGGAAGAUUAAUACAAGAUGGCAUCAUGAGUCCGCAUGUUCACAUGAUUAAAGGUAUUCCGGUAGACGAUGGGGAUGCGUUCCAUUAGAUAGUAGGCGGGGUAACGGCCCACCUAGUCUUCGAUGGAUAGGGGUUCUGAGAGGAAGGUCCCCCACAUUGGAACUGAGACACGGUCCAAACUCCUACGGGAGGCAGCAUG